rnacentral:rRNA from 1 species
AUGAACGCUAGCGACAGGCCUAACACAUGCAAGUCAGGGGCAGCACAAGGAGCAAUCUGAGGUGGCGACCGGCGCACGGGUGAGUAACACGUAUGCAACCUGCCUGUAAGCGGGGAAUAACCCGUUGAAAGACGGACUAAUACCGCAUAAUACUAAAUUACUGCAUGGUAAUUUAUUUAAACAUUUAUGGCUUACAGAUGGGCAUGCGCAUGAUUAGCUAGUUGGAGAGGUAACGGCUCCCCAAGGCAACGAUCAUUAGGGGUUCUGAGAGGAAGGUCCCCCACACUGGUACUGAGACACGGACCAGACUCCUACGGGAGGCAGCAGUGAGGAAUAUUGGUCAAUGGACGAGAGUCUGAACCAGCCAAGUCGCGUGCAGGAAGAAUGUCCUAUGGAUUGUAAACUGCUUUUGCAGGGGAAUAAAGUGCAUCACGUGUGAUGUUUGUAUGUACUCUGCGAAUAAGGAUCGGCUAACUCCGUGCCAGCAGCAGC